rnacentral:lncRNA from 1 species
UCUCUGCACAGUGGAAGGUCAGAAUGGGGAAGGCACUACUGAAGUACUGAGCGCCGCCAACCCCAAGUGCUUGAAUCUGAAAGAGGCAAAGGCAGACCAAGUCACAGAGCAGAUAGCUGAGCUUUUCAAGACAUGCAGCUGGCACCUAUCUCUGUGGACGAAAUGAUGUGCUAACUGCCCGUCUUGCUCUCUGGUGACAGCGCAGCUUGAGGAAGUUCAGACAUGUCCCCAGUCUCAUUUGCCGUUCUUCCCCUUUCCUCAUCAAGUGGGCCCUGACAACCUUUCUUUCUGAAGCUACAUAAAUUAAACAGGGUUAAGACUCUCAGUCCUUGUUCCAGCUCCAAAACAAGCCAAGACAAGAAAGGAUCCCGCAGACACAAAGAUAUUGAAAGUAUAUUUGUGCAAAGACAAAACAGUAAAUGAUGAGAUUCCAAGCCUCUCCAACUCUCUUGCUCUUCUAUUAAUUCUCGGACUUUCUCAUCACUAUCUAAAGAAAAGUCAAGUUGAAGGAGUUAUGUAGUCUCCCCUCCCCCAGCCUGAAACCUGCUUGCUCAGGGGUGGAGCUUCCUGCUCAUUCAUUCUGCCAUGCCCACUGCUGGAACCUGCGGAGCCACACACGUGCACCUUUCUACUGGACCAGAGAUUAUUCGGCGGGAAUCGGGUCCCCUCCCCCUUCCUUCAUAACUGAGUGUCACAACAGUAAAAUUUGAGCUUUGAUCAGAGUAA